GCAAAGUUUCGAUAAUUGAAUUAUUUGAUUGUUUUGCCAAAUGAGUCCUUCCAUUUUUUUCUCGAUUGCUUAACCAGUUUACCUGUGUCCCGUUACUCCCUGAUGUGUUCCAAGCAAAACAGUAACAUAAAGGAAAUGUUUGGAACAGCCCCAUGUGCCCAGAUGACAUUGUGACAUUGUUGCGGGUCAUGGACGUUCAGGCCCCCACAUCAACACCGACCUAUGUUAACUGCCAGACACAAUGUUUGCCUAAGAUAAGAAGAAUUCCAAUCUCCCAAAAGUUAAAAUGGAUAACUUUUAAUUUUUUCCAUUCAACAUCUCCUACAGCCAAUCUCUUAAAAUGUGAACCACAGGAAUAUGGAUUAAGACUUCAACAACUCGUGAUUAUGUGUUUGAGUCGAGCCCACAUCAAAUUACCUGUUGCUUCAGCAUCACGAGCUAUACCAUCUAAAGCAGGUGACUCCCAUAAUACAGUUGACAAACAUCAAACAAGCCUAUAAGAUUAAAGAAAGUUGUGGAUACCAGCCGCCAAACAAAGUGUCUUUUCUACAGACGACCCGGGCCCGGUGUCCUCUCGAUCCUGGUUGUUACAUCUACCCUGUUGUUUUCUUUACUCUUCUACCACAUGGGCAAAGUUCCAGAUUGGCUUGAGGAUCAAAUCGAAUGCAACUUACAAACCACGCCGACGUCAAAACCGCAAAUCGGAUUCUUUGCCGUCUACAAUCGCAGUGAUCAGGUUAGGUAAGUCAUCGUUUACUUACUUUUCCAUGUAACUUUCGCUCUACCAUCAAUGCGAUUGCGAUAGGGUGUUCGUUAAAAUCAGAAUUCUUUAUUAUUUGCCUCUUAUCAUUC